rnacentral:rRNA from 1 species
UACAGAGGUGGCAAGCGUUGUUCGGAAUUAUUGGGCGUAAAGAGCUCGUAGGUGGCGUGUCGCGUCUGCCGUGAAAGCCCAUGGCUUAACUGUGGGUCUGCGGUGGAUACGGGCAGGCUGGAGGCUGGUAGGGGCAAGCGGAAUUCCUGGUGUAGCGGUGAAAUGCGCAGAUAUCAGGAGGAACACCGGUGGCGAAGGCGGCUUGCUGGGCCAGUUCUGACGCUGAGGAGCGAAAGCGUGGGGAGCGAACAGG